rfam:Dipodomys ordii contig_47832, whole genome shotgun sequence.
GGUGGCUCAGUGGUAGAGUGCUUGCCUUGCAUGCAUGAGUUCUUGGGUUCGAUUCCUCAGCACCA